AAGCUAACGCUUUAAGUGCCCCGCCUGGGGAGUCCGGUCCCAAAACUAAAACUCAAAGGAAUUGACGGAAACUCAACGGAUUUGACGGAAAGUCAACAGGAUUUGUUGGAAAUUCAUAGGGAUUGAAGGGAAACGUCAAGCGGAUUUUUAGGAUCACUAUGUGUGAUCCCCGGGACUCAACUUGGGAACUGCGUCUGAUACUGGAAGGCUAGAGUACUGGAGAGGGUGGUGGAAUUCCUCGUGUAACGGUGAAAUGCGUAGAGAUGAGGAGGAACACCAGUGGCGAAGGCGGCCACCUGGACAGUAACUGACGCUGAGGCGCGAAAGUGUGGGUAGCAAACAGGAUUAGAUACCCUGGUAGUCCACGCUGUAAACGAUGAACACUUGGUGUGGAGGGAGUUGACCCCUUCCGUGCCGGAGCUAACGCGUUAAGUGUUCCGCCUGGGGAGUACGGUCGCAAGGCUGAAACUCAAA
rnacentral:rRNA from 1 species